AGAAACACCAGUUCUCGUCCGAUCACCGAAGUUAAGCAAUAUCGACCUGGUUCGUACCUAGAUGGGUGACCGCUUGAGAACACCAGGU